ensembl:lncRNA
GAAGGCUUUUUUCAUGAAUGCCCUAACACACCAUCCACUCUUUAAAGGAUUGUUGUUGUUGUUUUUGUUUUUGUUGUUGUUAUUAUUAUUAUUAUUAUUAUUAUUAUUAUUAGCAUUAGCAUUAGCAUUAGCAUUAGCAUUAGGAGGAUGGUGAAAGAGAACUGAAGAAACACAAAUUUUAAUGUUGAAUUCCAGCAUUAAAAAUAUAACAAAGUUUCAAUUCAGAAUAAUUGGGAUUAUAGAAGGUAAAGGUUUCCCCUGAUAUUAAGUCCAGUCAUGUCUGACUCUGGGGGGUUGGUGCUCAUCUCUAUUUCUAAGCCGAAGAGCCGGUGUUGUCCAUAGACACCUCCAAGGUCAUGUGGCCGGCAUGACUGCAUGGAGCGCUGUUACCUUCCCGCCAGAGCGGUACCUAUUGAUCUACUCACAUUGGCAUGUUUUCAAACUUAACUAAUUAACUUAAUUAACUAACUUAAUUAAUUAACUUGAUUAAUUAACUUAAUUAAUUGGGAUUAUACCCUAACGAAUACUAUUGCCAUGUGUGUCUACCAAAGACAAAUAAGUUAAGAAGCAGAAACCCCUAAAAUUCCUUACUUAGCAUUAAUGAAAAGCAAAAAAGAGAGAACAUUGCAUAUUGCAUUGGUACCUAUUGAUCUACUCACAUUGGCAUGUUUUCGAACUGCUAGGUUGGUAGGAGCUGGGGCUAACAGCGGGCGCUCAUUCUGCUCCCGGGAUUUGAACCUGGGAUCUUUUGGUCUGCAAGUUCAGCAGCUCAGUGCUUUAACACACUGCGCUACCACCAGGGGCCCCUAAAAAUGAAGACACCAAGGCAUUUCUGCUUCCAGGUGCCACAUGGAACUGCACUGCUCAGGGGAGGAAGGGAGGGAGGGAGGAGGAGAAGCAGCAGACAGGAGGCUUGUUGUCACAGCUUUCGUGGGUAGCCAGCCUCUCCCCUCCCAAUAUCCCCAUUGUCUUGACAUUAUAAGAGGGUUUUGCAAAACCAGUCGCUCUCGUUGUAACGGUGUAAUAACAGUGAGGCCGCAGACCAUAUUUUAGUUCUUGGGGACUACUGGUGGUCCAUGGACCACAAGUUGGGAACCACUGCAUUAAGGAAAAAGUUACUAGCUUAUGGUCUAACUUACAAGUGAUUAGUAUAGGGAGUUUUAUGCUUCAAUGGAAAUUAGUAUCUAAAUGGAUAUUGUGAUUUGGCGUCCCAGUCCAGUACUCUGACCACAACAUCACGAGGUCUCUGGUUCCAGUCUUUCCUUACUGCAGUGUUCUACAAAUAUUCUGCAUUUAUGGAAGUGUAUCAGCACCCACUCAUCCCUCAAGAAAAUAAGUGCUUUGCAGUGCCAAGUGGAGAAAGGAUCAUUUUUGAAGUUCUAAAACCAUUUAAUUUGAAACAGGACUAAGCUUCAUAUGCCCUGCUCUCAGUGGCAUUUAUAGGCAAGAUCAAAUGCAGAGCCUGGGAAAGCAUCGUUUCCAGAAUUCACCUGGAGAUGGUCCUUCAGUUAAAAGAGUGGCGUGAGGUUCACUCUCAGUAUAACAUCAAACCAAGAGCCUCUGUACUUUGUUUUUCCAGAAUGUCAAAAAGAGCAACAAAGGUUCAAUCCCAGUGUUUGUGGCAGCAUUGAGGAUCAUGUUUCCACUUCAAUAUAGCUGCUAUAAAUAGGUCUUGCAAGGCCAUCUGAUUGCACCUGCAUCAGAUCACCUAUUUCAAAUUGACAGGUGAGAGGGCUAUAUUUGCCUACAGAUAUACACAAUAGAAUUAUGAGUCCAUAUUUUGUUGAGAGAUGAUUUUAUGGAUCGCUGUUCCUUUUUAGGCUAAAUUUGUGACAGAUUCUUUUCGGCCAUUGAUUUGCUUUAUGGUUGGGUAAAGAUCUUUUAAUAUGGCAGGGACGUCUAUGGAAAGCUCCCUGUCUUCCGGAAGGUGUUUUGGUGGGUUUGCGGGUAUUUUGUGUGACCGCAAAUCAGUAUGUUGAGAUCCUUGACCCUCUGCCAAGGUGACUAAUGUGCCCCUUCCCAACUUUACUUAGUUGCCAAUUCCUGGACUAGUGCAAGUGUGGGAAAUAUUUGGCUCUGUGGGUUGCCAUUGGGUUACAACUCCCAUCAUGCCUGACUGCUGGUGUUGUUGGCUGGAGCUGCUGGGAGUUGUAGUGUUUGACUCCUAUCACAUCCAAUGGUCUAUGGUCAGUGGAGGUUGGUGACUCUAGCAUAAGUAGAGCAGGGGAUCCCCUCAACUUUUGACACAGAUCUAGGACGAAACUGUUCCAGGUGCUGAAUCUGUUUUGAGGAUAUAGUUCAGCACCUUGGACAAUGCACUCACAAUUAAUUUCAAUGAAUACUUGGAGUGGAUGCUCAAUCCCGUUGCCAUUGGAGCUAUCCACUCCUGGUCUGAAACAGCCAACCUCCAUAUCCACAGUUUCUGCAUCCAUGGAUUCCACCAUCCAUGUCACAUU